AUUAUAAAUGGUCUGGCUUUACUGGUGCUUCCCAAAAGUACAUCUUUGCACCCCAGCGUAUGUCGGACACAGAAAGUGAUACAGCGCUGAUGCACACAUCAAGAGGAUUAUUGUACAAUUCACUUGAAAGCCCUAUGGAAAGGAUGCAAUUGUUUCAUUUAUCCUGCGUGUCAAUCUUCCCAUGAGUUUUCAUUCAGCUCUGGCUAAUCUUGUGUCAUUGCACGCUUCUCAUUUUCAAGUCUGAAAUAUGAGAAAAUACAAGUUACUUGAUGUGUUCCACAAAUCAUCCAUGCUACUCACUUUUGAGGGAACAUUUUGAAGACUGAUGGGAAGAAAGCAAAGAAGUUUUGCAUCUAUCUGCUAGGUAAAUAUUCCAGUAAACCAUCCUUUUGUAAAUACAUGUAUCCAUCUG